AUGGAGAAAGAUUCACAGGAUUUUGGAAAGCAGUGGUACCUUUUGGACAAGCCAGUCUCUGGUGACAGAGAUCAUGGGUGGAAUGCUGCUACAAUGGCCCUGAAAGCUUCAUCUUCCUUUGGAGUGAAUCGGAGACAAGUUGAUGAAAAAGACUUUCAUUUGAAUGAGAGAUCAAUCACAGAGACUGAAAGUGACAGCCCUACCACAUUUGUUUGUGGACUUUGGAGACAGGCAGAAAGGAUAAGCAAUUGACAAGGAGGUAAGGAAAUCCGUAUCUGGGUUUGAUUCGGUUGUCUUGCAAGUGGAGUUGUAAACAAAUGUGGAAUUUAAAGGGGGAUUACAGUGUUUUGAUGUAUUCCAUUCUGCAUGUUCAAUAUCACUAUUUUCAUUCCAAGAGGGUAUAAUGUAU
rnacentral:lncRNA from 1 species